GGAGGCUGACGUGUGGGAGCGAAGCGACCUCAGGCUCGCCUCACACGCGAGAGGUCACUGGUUCGAGUCCGGUAAGGUCCACCA
rnacentral:tRNA from 1 species